rnacentral:tRNA from 1 species
GCCCUCGGUGGCUCAGAUGGACAGAGCGUCUGCCUUGUAAGCAGGAGAUCCCAGGUUCGAGUCCCGGUCGGGGCA